CUCCUGGAGGUUUUCACAGAAGUUCUGAGGUUCCUGAAGGACGAUGCUCUGAAAACCAUCAAACACCAUUCAGCAGGAGGAGAGAUCUCAGCCUCUGACUUCACCUGGGUGCUGACUGUUCCUGACAGCUUGAAGGAUGUUACUAAACGGAUCAUAACAGAAGCUGCUGUUCUGGCAGGUCUUGUAGGAGAAGACACUAAAGACAAACUGGUGUUUGCUCUGGAAUCAGCAGCAGCUUUGGCCUGGUGUUUGAAGCCUCCACCUGAUGGCUUCAUCACACAGAACCACAGCAGAACCUCCCAGGAUCAACCUCCAGAACCAGCAGGCGCUGGUACCAGCUGUAACGAUCCAGCAAGAGGUCCAGAACCAGGAGAAACCAGAGUUCUGCUGGAGACCCAGAACCAAGAUCAGGAGGCAGUUCACUUUAAGAAGGAACCAGGAGGAACCAAAGUUCUGCUGGAGACCAGAAACCCAGACAGGAAACGGUACCUUGUUGUCGACUGUGGAGGUAAAUGUUAAACACGGUUAUUUAAAUGUUUAUUGACAGACGAGCUUUAAAAUCUUUGUUCACACUAAGAAUCCAGAUAAAUGAGGAUUGAUGUAAACUUUUAGAUUAAUGUUUGCUGGAUGUGAGUUUGAA